GUCCGGAGCUUGAAGACGCAACAAUGAAGGACUUUCAGGUAAAUGGGAACACCCUCUCUCUUGCUCUCUUCACUCAAGUCACCAACUCCAAGGACUGCUUGAUUUGAUGCAAUCAAGGACACUAAACGCAGAAGUCGCAUUCCUGAAUGCUUCGCUUAUCCCAGAUGUUUUCCCUUUACUUGCAGCUGCACAUAAGACUCUUGUAUCCAAGUCCCGAGAGUCACUGACAACACGCACUCUUCAUUCUGAGCUUGUUUACAAUUACUCAGGAUCCAAGCAUAUCACAGAGUCCUUGAAAAGAUGUGGGAUUUCUGAAAGCUCAACCUAUGUGCUUGCCGCUCGUUUCAAUGCUUCUUUUGAUGAGAUAAGAUCACUGUCUCAUGAAAUGCCUGGUAGAUCAAGCGUUACAUUGCUUCAGUAUAUCCGAAAAUUGUUAGCACUUUCGACUUUAAUCAUGUUCAUGUUAUAAAAGAUAGAACAAAAAGCAGUAGAGAAACUUGUCAAUGGGAAAGAGAUUGACUUGGAGGAGUUAGCAGGGAGAGCAGAUCAAGCCCAAAUACAAAAGCACUAUAAGAUAACAAGUGUGGAGCUAGGAAUAUCGUCACUUGAUGAUGCUAUUACAUGCCGGAUUGCUUCUCGUGAUGCCUUGUGAGAAGAGCAGGUUGAAACUUGUUUAUGUUCUACCCUUUCCCCCUAGUUUUCUUGUGCCCAACUACUUUGAUAGAUUAUAUCUCUGUCUAGAAUGAGGUUGAUGUUCUGGGAAUUGAGGUCCGAACUGCAAAGCUAUGUUUGUAAGGUGGUGUAGGAAACAGAAACAAUGUAGCUUAUUAUUUCUGUUUGGGCAAAUUCAACUGCCUGUUUUAAUAUGUAGAUUACUUAUAGGCAAAGCCAAAAUUUGAAAGACGUGAUUAUGCAACUGAUGGCUCCAUUGUGCCGUUUCUACUUGAAAAGAGUCGAUAAGAUUCGUUAUCACAAGCCUCUCAUGAUUUGGUCUAGGCUUGUUCAGUUCCCAAAAUCCUUCCAAGAACGAGUUCUAUUCUACAGAUGGCAGUUAUAGCUCGACGGACUGCUAAUUAUAAGAUGCAAAGCUAAUCUCCCCCAAAUGUCAGCAAUUAGUCCAUCUGUGUUCUUUGUUAUGUAGCUAGUGAAACUUGUGGUUUCCUGAUUUUCAUGUGCCCUAUACACUGAAAGGUAUGAUGUCUUCUUACUCAA